rnacentral:lncRNA from 1 species
GGUGACGGUCGCCCGGCGGCUCCGGGUCGCCGCUCCGCUUUCGCCCUCGGGGCCGCGCAGGCCGGCCGUCCCCCGGGCACGUGGCCCCGGCUCGUCGGGAAGCGGCGGAGCCCCGCGGUUCCCCGGCGGAAGGCGAGCGCCGUAGGUAGCCAAUACCCUUGGCUGUGUGAAUUUUGGCUGAGAUGGUGAGGAGUGCUGCCACCCAAGUAUGAUUCCACCGCCAACUCCAUCGAUGUUUCACGCUGAGAAUGGGCUUUUGUUGCUACUUCACUGUCUGAAAAGGAAUCAAACCUACAUUAGAAACAUCAUGCUUCGGCCAGUGCAGACUGCAGUGCAGAGGCUCGAGAUGACCUUCAAGCUACAAAUGAGACUCAAGCACAGGACUCAGAACUCAAGCAGCACACGUUUGGAAGCAAUAGAGUAGUGCAAUAUACUGGAGGUGAAUACUGUUUCACGUGUCACAGAAAGGGAAGCGCAUUGUGUUUGUCGAUUCCUUUGCUUCUGAGGGCCUGUUCAGGAAGUGUGGUCUUUGCUUGCAACAAUUGUUAGCUGUCUUACAAAUCUACAUAAUGCAGUCUUCCCAGCCAGGCUUACAUGCCCAUCAUGACAAUUCAGAAGUGGUGAAUAUAACUAAGCCUUAAGCCCUAUCUUCUGGUUGGUGCUAAGGAAAAUAUUA